CCGGAGGCAGGAAAGGCUUCGGCCGGACAGGGAUGGGCAUGCGGCGCAUUAGGCAGUAGGCGGGGUAACGGCCCACCUAACCGACGAUGCGUAGGGGUUCUGAGAGGAAGGUCCCCCACACUGGUACUGAGACACGGACCAGACUCCUACGGGAGGCAGCAG
rnacentral:rRNA from 1 species